rnacentral:snoRNA from 1 species
AAGCUAGCAAUGAUUAUAAAAAUAAUUUUUUGCUCUGAUUUGCUUAAUUUAGGUAUAACAAACCUUUUAUUACAAACAUAGAAUCUGAGUUAC